UCGUGCUAGGCGGGGAACUAGCGGUGCCCUAUAACUCGCAAUCCGCUAUAGCGAGGCUGAACACCCGUAAUGAGUGCGGAGGAGUGUAUUAAUUGGCAUCGGGCGAUGUUGAUGGGUCGGUCCCGUGCGACAGUACCCGAGGAACCCCGCCAGGGCCGGAAGGCAGCAACGGUAAGUCGGUAGUGCUGGGUGCCACGGGGGUGCCGACGCUGAGUAAGCCAAUGCUAAGCUGUACUCUCUGAAGUGCGAAUACGGGGCACGG
rnacentral:SRP_RNA from 1 species